rnacentral:rRNA from 1 species
CUAGGGGGCGUCAAAGCUUACCGAAGAAUAUCAAACUCCGAAUGCCGUGUAGAUGUUGUAUGGGAGUCAGACUGUACGAGAUAAGUUGGACAGUCAAAAGGGAAAGAGCCCAGACCGCCGGCUAAGGUCCCAAAGUGGGUGUUAAGUGGAAAAGGAUGUGGGAUCUCUAAGACAACCAGGAUGUUGGCUCAGAAGCAGCCAUUCAUUAAAAGAGUGCGUAACAGCUCACUGGUCGAGAGGUCCUGCGCCGAAAAUGUCCGGGGCUGAAACACCACACCGAAGCCGCGGAACCCGUAAGGGUUGGUAGAGGAGCAUUCUUAGGGGAGCGAAGCAUUACCGGAAGGGGAUGUGGACCGCUAAGAAGAGAGAAUGCCGGAAUGAGUAGCGAGAGCAAGGUGGGAAUCCUUGCGGCCGAAUAUCCAAGGUUUCCAGAGUAAAGCUGAUCUGCUCUGGGUAAGUCGGGGCCUAAGGAGAGGCAGAGAUGCGUAUCCGAUGGACAGCAGGUUUAAGAUUCCUGCACCCCUUGUUAUCAGAACUGCGGGGACACGGGAAGGGAAGCAGAGCCGGGAAUGGAAAGCCCGGUGCAAGCGAAGUAGUCGCAGGGUUGGAAAAUCCGCCCUGCAUGAGACGAAGGCGUGAUGCGGAGCGAAAUGAAGUAGUGAAGCUGCGGCCCCUUCCUGUCGAGAAAAGCCGCUAUCGUGUAGCAAGGGCCCGUACCGUAAACCGACACAGGUGGAUGAGGAGAGGAUCCUAAGGCCGGCGGGAGAAGUGUUGUUAAGGAACUCGGCAAAAUGACUCCGUAACUUCGGGAGAAGGAGUGCUGCGCAAGCAGCCGCAGAGAAAUGGCCCAAGCAACUGUUUAGCAAAAACACAGGUCUAUGCGAAACCGAAAGGUGAGGUAUAUGGGCUGACGCCUGCCCGGUGCUGGAAGGUUAAGGGGAGAGGUUAGCGCAAGCGAAGCUUUGAACUUAAGCCCCAGUAAACGGCGGCCGUAACUAUAACGGUCCUAAGGUAGCGAAAUUCCUUGUCGGGUAAGUUCCGACCCGCACGAAAGGCGUAAUGAUUUGGGCACUGUCUCAACAACACACCCGGUGAAAUUGAAAUACCAGUGAAGAUGCUGGUUACCCGCGCCAGGACGGAAAGACCCCAUGGAGCUUUACUCCAGCCUGAUACUGGGAUUCGGUAUUGCAUGUACAGGAUAGGUGGGAGGCUAAGAACUCAUGGCGCCAGCCGUGAGGGAGCCGGUGUUGGGAUACCACCCCUGCAGUACUGGGUUUCUAACCUGCGCCCGUGACCCGGGCGGGGGACAAUGUCAGGCGGGGAGUUUGACUGGGGCGGUCGCCUCCGAAAGGGUAUCGGAGGCGCUCAAAGGUUCCCUCAGAAUGGACGGAAACCAUUCGAAGAGUGCAAAGGCAGAAGGGAGCUUGACUGCGACACCGACGGGUGGAGCAGGUACGAAAGUAGGACUUAGUGAUCCGGUGGUAUAAAGUGGGAUUGCCAUCGCUCAACGGAUAAAAGCUACCCUGGGGAUAACAGGCUUAUCACUCCCAAGAGUUCACAUCGACGGAGUGGUUUGGCACCUCGAUGUCGGCUCAUCGCAUCCUGGAGCUGGAGCAGGUUCCAAGGGUUGGGCUGUUCGCCCAUUAAAGCGGUACGCGAGCUGGGUUCAGAACGUCGUGAGACAGUUCGGUCCCUAUCCGGCGCGGGCGCAGGAUAUCUGAGAGGAGCUGUCCUUAGUACGAGAGGACCGGGAUGGACCGUCCGCUGGUGGACCGGUUGUCAUGCCAAUGGCACGGCCGGGUAGCCAAGACGGGAAGGGAUAAACGCUGAAGGCAUCUAAGCGUGAAGCCCCCCUCAAGAUGAGAUAUCCAUACUCGAAAGAGUGAGAGACCCCUUAGAGACGAUGAGGUAGAUAGGGCAGAGAUGGAAGCACAGCGAUGUGUGGAGUUGACUGUUACUAAUCGGUCGAAAGCUUGACCU